UGAGCUGCGAAUGAGGUCCCAUCAUCCAGAUGUGUCGUAUCACCGAGGCGAUGUCGCUUACGGAUUUGGGAUGCAAGACCGCCAAAGGAAGCAGCUGGUACCGGUUUCCAAAAUCUUUGGAGGCGGGAUGGACAUCUUCGAACUCCAAGUGGCCUAGUAGGGGAAGGGCUUUCAACGAAGAGAUGCUGUUAGAGAAGCAGCAAGCUAACUUAAAGGCUAUGCAGCUGAGUAGUAGUAAGGCAGAAGAGUAUUGAAAGAAAAGCUAGUGCGAUUCUGAAUGGAGGAGGCAACCAAUCUUUUUGGUUGUGAGAAUCUGGAUGGGGACUUGGCUGUCUACAAUGGGUUAUAUAUAUAUAUAUAUAGCUAGCUUUAGAAGCCAUAAAGGAGAAGGUGCCUAGUUGAAGGGAAAAAGUCACAAGAAAGAAAGAUCUCACGAAUCUUUUUUUUAUUUUAUCUUUUCAUAACAGUUACACGCACAAUCUUGGCUUUUUAGGCAGACAAGAUCAUACCAUAACACUUUUUACUUGGAAACUUACCAUUUGAAGCACUCCUUUUUUAUCCUCUUAUCCCAUACAUACAUAACAUGUUUCCAGUCGUAGGUAUGGUUUUGCUUUUUUUGGGGCUGAGAUCUAUUAUCUGAGAUUGUAUUCCACUCUUUUGUCAGGCUUUUGACUCGGAUGAAACGCAAAAGGAUUGGUCUCUGAGAAAAAAGAAUGGCAUAUCACUGAACUGAAGGAGGGGUCAGCAGACGUGGAACGAAAGAAAUCCUUGUGGGAAAAUGAGGAGGCAAUGAUGGGACACGACAACACAAUCCUUGUAAGGCAAAAAAAAAAACUGAACGACAGCACAAACCAAAGCAACCAAUGAGUAAGUCUUUCUGUUACUGAUUUACGGCCUCCUCUUGCAGCUAGCUGACAAAAAUAAAACACUGACUGAAUCAUCUCUUGUAUUCAUAAAUUCUUGUGAUUGACAUUAUGAUGAGAUUAGCUUUAGAUUUUGUUUAAUUUACUUUUGCUAAACAUCCGGCAUGUGGAUAACAGAGAGGGACUCAGUGCUUCCUCAAACAUAAUCAUCUCGGAUAAUCUCAUUUUAUUUGUCU